rnacentral:rRNA from 1 species
AAUGAACGCUGGCGGCGUGCUUAACACAUGCAAGUCGAGCGAGGCGGAGGGGGGCAACUCCUUCCAGUCGAGCGGCGGACGGGUGAGUAACACGUGGGUAACCUGCCCGGAAGUGGGGAAUACCUCGGAGAAAUUCGAGCUAAUACCGCAUGACAUCUUCGGGACGAAAGUCCUGACGAUCAAAGCGGGGUCGCAAGAUCUCGCGCUACCGGAUGGGCCCGCGCCCGAUUAGCUAGNGGCGAGGUAACGGCUCACCAAGGCUUCGAUCGGUAACCGGCCUGAGAGGGCGAUCGGUCACACCGGAACUGAGACACGGUCCGGACUCCUACGGGAGGCAGCAGUGGGGAAUCUUGCGCAAUGGGCGAAAGCCUGACGCAGCAACGCCGCGUGGAGGAUGAAGGCCCUUGGGUUGUAAACUCCUGUCGGCUGGGAAGAAAUCGUUCGUGGCUCA